CAUAAACACAGAGGAAGAGAGAGGUUAGAGGGAACAUAAACACAGAGGAAGAGAGAGGUUAGAGGGUAGAGGGAACAUAAACACAGAGGAAGAGAGAGGUUAGAGGGAACAUAAACACAGAGGAAGAGAGAGGUUAGAGGGAACAUAAACACAGAGGAAGAGAGAGGUUAGAGGGAACAUAAACACAGAGGAAGAGAGAGGUUAGAGGGUAGAGGGAACAUAAACACAGAGGAAGAGAGAGGUUAGAGGGAACAUAAACACAGAGGAAGAGAGAGGUUAGAGGGAACAUAAACACAGAGGAAGAGAGAGGUUAGAGGGAACAUAAACACAGAGGAAGAGAGAGGUCAGAGGGUAGAGGGAACAUUAACACAGAGGAAGAGAGAGGUUAGAGGGAACAUAAACACAGAGGAAGAGAGAGAUUAGAGGGUAGAGGGAACAUAAACACAGAGGAAGAGAGAGGUUAGAGGGAACAUAAACACAGAGGAAGAGAGAGGUUAGAGGGAACAUAAACACAGAGGAAGAGAGAGGUUAGAGGGAACAUAAACACAGAGGAAGAGAGAGGUUAGAGGGAACAUAAACACAGAGGAAGAGAGAGGUUAGAGGGAACAUAAACACAGAGGAAGAGAGAGGUUAGAGGGAACAUAAACACAGAGGAAGAGAGAGGUUAGAGGGUAGAGGGAACAUAAACACAGAGGAAGAGAGAGGUUAGAGGGUAGAGGGAACAUAAACACAGAGGAAGAGAGAGGUUAGAGGUUAGAGGGAACAUAAACACAGAGGAAGAGAGAGGUUAGAGGGAACAUAAACACAGAGGAAGAGAGAGGUUAGAGGGAACAUAAACACAGAGGAAGAGAGAGGUUAGAGGGUAGAGGGAACAUAAACACAGAGGAAGAGAGAGGUUAGAGGGAACAUAAACACAGAGGAAGAGAGAGGUUAGAGGGAACAUAAACAGAGGAAGAGAGAGGUUAGAGGGAACAUAAACACAGAGGAAGAGAGAGGUUAGAGGGAACAUAAACACAGAGGAAGAGAGAGGUUAGAGGGAACAUAAACACAGAGGAAGAGAGAGGUUAGAGGUUAGAGGGAACAUAAACACAGAGGAAGAGAGAGGUUAGAGGGAACAUAAACACAGAGGAAGAGAGAGGUUAGAGGGAACAUAAACACAGAGGAAGAGAGAGGUUAGAGGGUAGAGGGAACAUAAACACAGAGGAAGAGAGAGGUUAGAGGGAACAUAAACACAGAGGAAGAGAGAGGUUAGAGGGUAGAGGGAACAUAAACACAGAGGAAGAGAGAGGUUAGAGGGAACAUAAACACAGAGGAAGAGAGAGGUUAGAGGGAACAUAAACACAGAGGAAGAGAGAGGUUAGAGGGAACAUAAACACAGAGGAAGAGAGAGGUUAGAGGGAACAUAAACACAGAGGAAGAGAGAGGUUAGAGGGAACAUAAACACAGAGGAAGAGAGAGGUUAGAGGUUAGAGGGAACAUAAACACAGAGGAAGAGAGAGGUUAGAGGGAACAUAAACACAGAGGAAGAGAGAGGUUAGAGGGUAGAGGGAACAUAAACACAGAGGAAGAGAGAGGUUAGAGGGAACAUAAACACAGAGGAAGAGAGAGGUUAGAGGUUAGAGGGAACAUAAACACAGAGGAAGAGAGAGGUUAGAGGGAACAUAAACACAGAGGAAGAGAGAGGUUAGAGGGUAGAGGGAACAUAAACACAGAGGAAGAGAGAGGUUAGAGGGAACAUAAACACAGAGGAAGAGAGAGGUUAGAGGGAACAUAAACACAGAGGAAGAGAGAGGUUAGAGGGAACAUAAACACAGAGGAAGAGAGAGGUUAGAGGUUAGAGGGAACAUAAACACAGAGGAAGAGAGAGGUUAGAGGGAACAUAAACAAAGAGGAAGAGAGAGGUUAGAGGGUAGAGGGAACAUAAACACAGAGGAAGAGAGAGGUUAGAGGGAACAUAAACACAGAGGAAGAGAGAGGUUAGAGGUUAGAGGGAACAUAAACACAGAGGAAGAGAGAGGUUAGAGGGAACAUAAACACAGAGGAAGAGAGAGGUUAGAGGGUAGAGGGAACAUAAACACAGAGGAAGAGAGAGGUUAGAGGGAACAUAAACACAGAGGAAGAGAGAGGUUAGAGGGAACAUAAACACAGAGGAAGAGAGAGGUUAGAGGGUAGAGGGAACAUAAACACAGAGGAAGAGAGAGGUUAGAGGGUAGAGGGAACAUAAACACAGAGGAAGAGAGAGGUUAGAGGGAACAUAAACACAGAGGAAGAGAGAGGUUAGAGGUUAGAGGGAACAUAAACACAGAGGAAGAGAGAGGUUAGAGGGUAGAGGGAACAUAAACACAGAGGAAGAGAGAGGUUAGAGGGAACAUAAACACAGAGGAAGAGAGAGGUUAGAGGGAACAUAAACACAGAGGAAGAGAGAGGUUAGAGGGAACAUAAACACAGAGGAAGAGAGAGGUUAGAGGUUAGAGGGAACAUAAACACAGAGGAAGAGAGAGGUUAGAGGGAACAUAAACACAGAGGAAGAGAGAGGUUAGAGGGAACAUAAACACAGAGGAAGAAAGAGGUUAGAGGGAACAUAAACAAAGAGGAAGAGAGAGGUUAGAGGGUAGAGGGAACAUAAACACAGAGGAAGAGAGAGGUUAGAGGGAACAUAAACACAGAGGAAGAGAGAGGUUAGAGGUUAGAGGGAACAUAAACACAGAGGAAGAGAGAGGUUAGAGGGAACAUAAACACAGAGGAAGAGAGAGGUUAGAGGGAACAUAAACACAGAGGAAGAGAGAGGUUAGAGGGUAGAGGGAACAUAAACACAGAGGAAGAGAGAGGUUAGAGGGAACAUAAACACAGAGGAAGAGAGAGGUUAGAGGGAACAUAAACACAGAAAGAGAGAGAUUAGAGGGUGACGAAAAACAGGAGGGAAAAGGAGACGGAGAGGAAGAGAGAUUCAAAGAAAGAGAGACACCGGGUGAGAUAGAACAAUGGAAAGGGAGACAUGUUAAGUGUGGGUUUUUAAAUGAGAGUGUGAAUAUACUGGAUGUCUCUGUCAGCAUCCUUUAUAGAUAUGGUCGGUGGUAAACUCUGGGCUGAGGAGGAGGAGUCAGAAUGAUGAGUAAAUCACCUGAAUGAGAGAUGCUUGGUCAUAUCUCAUGCUCUCUGUCUGUCCUACAGUGACAGGGGGUGUUUAUGUGUGUUGCAGCGUGUGUUUAGGAAGUAUGUGUGUGUGUGUAGUGGUGACAGUGAUGAACCUAGGAACUGAG